GAUCACUACCUUUAAAUCUGUCACCCCCUACAUUACCCACUUCUCAUGGGGCAUCAGUGGUGCCUGGGGUUUGUGCUCACCCUCCAGCUGUUUGGCAUCACGGUGGAUGGACUAGUUGUUAUUCUGGUAGCCCAGAUGUGGUUCUGUGGCCCCAACCUAAUUGAUUACUUUUAAUACAAUUUCUCACCCAUCAUGGACCUGGCUUAGUCAGAUACCCAAGUUUUCCAGGUGAUUACAUUUGUUCUCUCUGUUGUCUUCCUGACUGUCCCCUUUGGGCUGGUUCUGAUCUCCUACAUUCAGAUUGUGGUGACUGUGCUGAGAGUUCUCUCUGGGGACAGAAGAACCAAGGACUUCUCCACAUGCUCCUCUCACCUGGCUGUGGUUUCCACAUUCUAUAGAUCACUCAUGGUCUUGUACACUGUGCCCUUUGCUCCUCUCCAAGGUCAUUGCACUGCUCUACAAAGUAGUCAUCCCUAUCUUCAAUCAUGUCAUCUAUACCUUGAGGAACCAGGAGGUGCCAUAGGCACUAAGAAGGCAUCUAUAUUGCAAACCAACUG
rnacentral:lncRNA from 1 species